UUUGAGUCUCAUGUUUGCGCCCUCCAGUCCCUGGUCUGGCUUGGGAACAACCCUGAUGUAGUUCUGUCUGGCCCAUGCCUCAGGCUUCAGCCUCGAGUUCUUGUAGCUAGGAUCACUGAUUUUGGCCUCCAGAUCUUCCUUCCGCAGGUUGAAACGUUUCGCUGCCGCAUCCACCGCAAAACCAAAAGCGCCAUCCAGAGAUUUCUUCCAGUCACCCGCUGGAAGAGGCCAUGCAGACAGAGUGCACUCCACGUAAAGAAUCGGGACGGACGGACGAUUCUCUCCAGGCGCAAUAUAGUUCCCUGCAAAAAAAAAGGAGGAUUCCAGGACAAAGAGCUACCACAAAGUGACUUACCGCUGCUGCUCAUCGCUCCUUUCGUCAAGAACCCUAAACGACUGAGAUUAAUUUUCAUCUAACUGCUGUUGUCAAUUUAGAUUAAUUUUAAUACACUACCAAAAUCACUUUUGUUAAAACUGAAUUAAUAUCAAUUAUUAUUAAACGUUACUAAUUGAGUCUCUAUGUAAUUGAAACCGCCAAGAGACUUUGUCGAGAAGGGGAACUCUUUUAACUGCGAGAAUGGUUUUAAAUUGAUAGAAAUAUGAAAAAUUUGUAUGUUGCCGUAGUAAGCCAUCUUCUCCGCAUCAAAACUGCUCAUGAACAGCGUUGAUAAAUUCUUUUGCAGGCUUCCUGUCUCCAAAAAUAAAAAGCUCACAAAACAAUUUACAAAUUACGUAGUCUCUAACCUGCAACCAUAGGUGAGAAUUUGCCGACCAAUGUCCUCAUUCACGACCACCUAUAAGAAAAUAUAUAGUUCAUCUAUGUAGAACAUUUUACUGCUUUUACUUCUGUGUACAAUGACUCCGGCUCGUUUGGGAUCCACGCAUCUUCUGUGAGUAGCUCUUGAGUAAUAUUUGUCUCAAACGCAUGUUCUUGUGCUGUUUAUCUAGGAGCACAAGUUUGUAGACGGACUGGUAGAUGUUAUAGAAGACGAGCUUAUUUCUGUGGCAGAACCUGGAGAAGGUACUCAACUUGAAACUCUCUUUUUUCACUUCUCUAUGAACGUUCUUUCCAUUGUAGUCGACGAAGAAUGCAACCAUUUCACUUGUUUGAUGAAUCUCGAGUCUCAGGUUCGUGAUUUCUCGUUUCUCUAUGCCUUGGGAUGGACAGUGAGAACGGGAGUAUCUGGACGUCAGUGCCAAACUAAGUAAGAACACAAAAUCCAAACCACGAUUCAUACAUACACAAUCUGGAAUGGAUGCCCUUGCCCAGGCUCCGGUUGAAAACGAGCCAACUAAAACGGAAACAAGAAAAAAGAAACACAAAGUUUGAGCAUAAACAUUUUCUUCCAGCAAACUUGAGAAAGAAGGGGAAGCUUUACCUAUAACACAGUUGCCGCAACAGCAUCGCGUUCGUUUCUCCACCCACCAGGGAUUUCAAAAGCGAUGGAAACCCACGUAGUCUGCUUAAAAAUGAAAGAGUUAAAUGCAUUUAGACUUCCAACAAAGAGAAAACGCAAAAAGGAAAGAAAGGAAAAACUCUUACAUCACUCUCGCUUGAAGGCGCCACUGGCCACUAACAUACUCGGACUUCACAGGCUCUGGAGGUGCCAUUUCUUUCUCUUUUUUUCUUUUUCUUCUUACGGGGUUGAUUGGAUCCACAGGCUGACAUCUUGGUGGCAAGCGAGUCCUCGUUGGAAAAAACUGACUUGCGUGCUCUUCCUACUUUCGUUAUUCUUGUAUUUUUUCUAACAGCAGGGAGAUUUUGCAGGCAAACUAAACAGCUUCACGGAUGGUUUUCGCUGGGUCUGGCGCCAAGCACGUUCUCGCUGGUGAAACCGUUGUUAGAGGACAUGCCUCUGGUACCUGUUCUUUGAUUUCCCACUCAUGGAAAGCCGGGUUCUGGAUGCUAUCGGCAAGAAGCUCCACAAUCUCGAAGCUUCACCCGUAUAAGACAUAUACCAGAUAUCAUUAUAACAUUUACAUGUUACAAGAGUUACGAAAUGAAUUUCUAUCUGAUAUUACUAAGAAACAAAUUUUUGGAAAAUGUAUUUGUGUGUGUGUGUGUGUGAGAGAGAGAGAGAGAGAGAGAGAGAGAGAGUGCGUGUGCGCGCGCAUUAAUAUUUCUAAUAUCAAUUUCUUUAUAAAUUGUUGUAUUUGUGUUUAAAUUAAAUCCUAUGUGAUAUAUCUUUUAUCCAAUAUAAUUUAAGUUUUAUUUUACCUGUAAAUCAAAUAAUACUAAAUAUAUUUCAGUAAAAUUUUGCUGUUCAGAAUAACAUGAUUAAAAUUGAACAACUUAAAAAUAUAACACAAAAAACAUUGUGAACAUUAUCAUUGUAAAUAUUAAGAUGGCAUUGCAAAUUGUAAAUAUUAAAAUUUAUCUGUAUAAAUAUAUUUAUUAUUAAAAUAAUCAUAUAAAAUGGAAUUUAAAUUUCAGCUAUGUUUACAAUUUGGUGAAGAUCUUUUAGAUAUGCAUUAGUAAAAAUCUUACUAUUUUUUAUUAUACUGGGGAUAUAGGGAUUUUUCAAAUUCAAAAUGCCUGAUCAUCUUACAUCUGUAAUUUGUCUUCCUGUCCAUCUUUCAAACUUUCAAAACAGGUACAAUCUAAAUGUAAAUAUUAUAUCUUAAAUGCAUUCUCUCACAAAUAUUGAAUUAUAUCAUUUACGUCUUAUCUUAUUGGUACUACAUUUUUCAAUAAUCUAGAAACAGUUAACAAUAUUUGCUAUCUAACAAGUUAUUUCUACUAGAGGUCUUUUAUUUGACAAUACUGAGUGAGAAAAAGGCCUAAAAGGUGCUGAGCUUACGUUUCUUUCAAAAUGGCAGAUAUUUUAUGGCCUGUGCCUGCAAAAAAUGAAGCAAGUAAGCUUUCUUUGUGUUUGAUUCACGUCUUUACCAGGUCCUAAUUGCAGAAAUCCCGUAAAAAUGCCUUGCAAAGAUUCCAUCCGGUGUGCUCUUGUGCACUGAUGUCGCUGCUCGCGGAUAUACCUGGUGUCGACUGGAUUGUUCAGGUAAAGUUCGCUUACGCUUCGCAGCCCAGUAUGAUCCUCCUCAAGAUCCAAACACGUUUGUUCGCAGAGUCAGGCGUACUGCAAGAACAGGACGCAUUGGACAUUAGGUUGUUUUCCUCAUGGAGAAAAGACUUAAAAGCAUUUGUAUCAUAUUUUCGAGCAUACAAGAGCAGCACCACUGUAACUACAUUUUCUGGUUUACUUCUUUGUCCUCUAUUUGUAUUUAGGUGGAAGAAACUGCAGGUUGGCAAGAUUGCUAUGGGAUUUGGCCUCUUGCAGCUACUUUUGACGCCUCCCGAGAGAGAUUCCAAGUCUCAAAAGCCAAAGAAAAUCGCGGGCGUUGAAGGUCCCCAGCAAAAAACAAGAAGCUCAAGAGCCAUGCAGUGGAAGAAGCAAUGACAAAAGCAGAAGCUCUAGUUACCACUGUGUAAAUGCUGCGAGUGGCUCCCAGUCCGUAAAAGGGCUGUGGUGCACUUAGUCAGCCAUUAGCACGCAAGGAAACUCUCACCUCCUGCUAUUUUCGAUUGACUCAUUUGCUAUUUUUAUUUGCUAGAUGGAAGUUACUCUGUGACAGGCAAAGAAAAUGAGCACGAAAAUUUAGCGACAAAGAGCUUUUACGUUUACUUUAGCUUACUCGCUUAACUUUUUGAGUAUCUUCCGAAAGUAAGAACAGCAGACUUGUAAAAGAGGCUCUAGAACUCAAGAGGAUGGCUACUGAAGGGAGAAAAUUCGAGGGCGUUGCAAAACCUGACACGAGAAACAAAAGCUCAGUGCUUAGUAAGCUUGAAAUUGACACACCUUUACUCAGUCGGAGCGUCAGCCUCAAAGGCUGCUUGGAGAGAAGCUUGCGCUGCUGGAUAGACGAACACCAGAAUGUUCUCCAUUUUGGUCCGGAACUCGUCGAGCAUCAGCUCCAGCACUGUGUCCACAAACACCUCCUCUGACUCCACCACUUGAUGUACACCGGCAUGCAAACGCCGCAGGAUCGAUCUGGCAUACUCGAGCCCCACGGUGAGCCCUGCAUCGUUUAACAAUGCCACGACCCUGGAAGAAAUAAAAGUCACAUGUAAGUACUAGUUGACAGAAGAAAGAAAGAAAAGAAAAAGAAAAUCUUACCCUGGAAUGUUGAAAAACUCAUUCCAAUUUAUUUUUCCAUCGGCUGCAAGUGGGAUCUCCACAUCUGCUUCUCUCGCAAGCCUCACGCAUUUCUCCCGAGCGGCCUUGCAGAGCUUUCGCAGAAGCACUCGCUCGAACAUGCGCAAUGCAGAUAACCUCUGCUGCAAUGCUGAGAGUUCACGGCCCUGGGCUGAAAGCUGACGACUCAGGUCUGUAAGUUCCUCCUUUAGCUUCGAAGUUUCCUCCUUCCGCUUCAAAGUUUCCUCCUUCAGCUUCUCCUCGAGCUCUGCCACUCUCUCUGUGAGUUUGGUAUUCUCCUCCUUAAGGCUGACGAUCUCCCUUGAGUCCUUCUGCAGCUCCUGGAUUUUCUCAGCUUGCUCUUUGUUCACCUUCAUAAGCUUGUCCUUUGUGUUCUUGAUCUCUUCUUUCUGGUUGGUGACUUGCAGGAUCAACUUGGAGUUCAGAUCUUUGAGUCUCGUGUUUUCGCCCUCCAGUCCCUGGUCUGGCUUGGGAACAACCCUGAUGUAGUUCUGUCUGGCCCAUGCCUCAGGCGUCAGCCUCGAGUUCUUGUAGCUAGGAUCACUGAUUUUGGCCUCCAGAUCUUCCUUCCGCAGGUUGAAACGUUUCGCUGCCGCAUCCACCGCAAAACCAAAAGCGCCAUCCAGAGAUUUCUUCCAGUCACCCGC
rnacentral:lncRNA from 1 species